rnacentral:rRNA from 1 species
CGGCAACAGCUCAAAUUUGAAAUCUGGCUCUUUCAGGGUCCGAGUUGUAAUUUGUAGAAGAUGCUUCGGGUGUGGCUCCGGUCUAAGUUCCUUGGAACAGGACGUCAUAGAGGGUGAGAAUCCCGUCCUUGACAUGGACUCCCAGUACUUUGUGUUGUGCUCUCAA